rnacentral:snRNA from 1 species
GUGUUGGCUUCGGCAGCACAUAUACUAAAUUGGAACGAUACAGAGAAGAGAGAUUUGCAUGGCCCCUGCGUAAGGGGUGUCCAGCAAAUCCUGUGACGCAUUUCAUUUAAAA